UACGAAGGGGGCUAGCGUUGCUCGGAAUCACUGGGCGUAAAGCGCACGUAGGCGGAUCUUUAAGUCAGGGGUGAAAUCCUGGAGCUCAACUCCAGAACUGCCUUUGAUACUGGGGAUCUCGAGUCCGGAAGAGGUGAGUGGAACUCCGAGUGUAGAGGUGAAAUUCGUAGAUAUCGAGAGGAACACCGGUGGCGAAGGCGGCCAACUGGACGAAUACUGACGCUGAGACUCGAAAGCGUGGGGAGCAAACAGG
rnacentral:rRNA from 1 species